rnacentral:misc_RNA from 1 species
GAUGAAGAACGCAGCGAAAUGCGAUACUUGGUGUGAAUUGCAGAAUCCCGCGAAUCAUCGAGUUUUUGAACGCAAGUUGCGCCCGAAGCCAUUCGGCCGAGGGCACGUCUGCCUGGGUGUCACGCAUCGUUGCCCCCCCAAACUCCGGUUCGGGCGGGGCGGAAGUUGGCCUCCCGUGUGUGCCUGCGCGCGCGGUUAGCCCAAAAGCGAGUCCUCGGCGACGAGCGCCACGACAAUCGGUGGUUUUUUUACCCUCGUUCCUCGUCGUGCGUGUCCCGUCGCCCGAACGCGCUCUUGUGACCCUCACGCGUCGCCUCGGCGGCGCUCCCAACGCGACCCCAGGUCAGGCGGGACUACCCGCUGAGUUUAAGCAUAUCAAUAAGCGGAGGA